rnacentral:rRNA from 1 species
CCUACGGGAGGCAGCAGUGGGGAAUAUUGGGCAAUGGGCGCAAGCCUGACCCAGCGACGCCGCGUGAGGGAUGAAGGUCUUCGGAUUGUAAACCUCUUUCAGUGGGGAAGAAGCGAAAGUGACGGUACCCAAAGAAGAAGCACCGGCUAACUAUGUGCCAGCAGCCGCGGUAACACAUAGGGUGCAAGCGUUGUCCGGAAUUAUUGGGCGUAAAGAGCUCGUAGGUUGUUCACCACGUCGGAUGUGAAAAUCUGAGGCUCAACCUCAGGCCUGCAUUCGAUACGAGUGAACUAGAGUUUGGUAGGGGAGACUGGAAUUCCUGGUGUAGCGGUGGAAUGCGCAGAUAUCAGGAGGAACAUCAAUGGCGAAGGCAGGUCUCUGGGCCAAUACUGACACUGAGGAGCGAAAGCGUGGGGAGCGAACAGGAUUAGAUACCCUGGUAGUCCACGCCGUAAACGGUGGGCACUAGUUGUGGGGACCUUCCACGGUUUCCGCGACGCAGCUAACGCAUUAAGUGCCCCGCCUGGGGAGUACGAUCGCAAGAUUAAAACUCAAAGGAAUUGACGGCUGAGACGNGCGAGCGACGACGAGGGAGAG